GAAGAUUAAAAAAAUCCUAAAUCCUAGGGCACAUAGAUGGAAAACAUGUAUUGGGAGAGGGGUAUGUAUUAGUCUCCUAGGGUUACUAUAACAAGGUAUCACAAACUGGUGGCUUAAAAGAACAAAAUUUGGGUUUCGCUGGUGGCGCAGUGGUUGAGAGUCCACCGGCCGAUAUGAUGCAGGGGACACGGGUUUGUGCCCUGGUCCGGGAAGAUCCCACAUGCCGCGGAGUGGCUAGGCCCGUGAGCCGUGUCCACUGAGCCUGUGUGUCCGGAGCCGGUGCUCCGCAACGGGAGAGGCCACAACAGUGAGAGGCCCGCGUAGCGCAAAAAAAAAAAAAAAAAGAUUUAUUCUCUCACAGGUCUGGAGGAAGACUGAAAUCAAGGUGUUGGUCAGGUUGAUAGCUCCUGGAGGCUUUGAGGGAGAAUCUGUUCCGUGCCUCUCUCCUAGCUUCUUGUGGUGGCCAGCAAUCCUUUGUGUUCCUUGGCAGUCUCUCUCUCCACUGUCACAUGGUGUUCUCUAUGUGUGUGUGUGUGUGUGUGUGUGUGUGUGUAUGUGUGUGUGUGUGUGUGUCCAUGUCCAAAAUUCCUUCUUCUAAAAAGAACAUCAGUCAUUGGAUUAAUGCCCACCUUAAUCCAGUAUGCCCUCCUUUUAACUUGAUUACAUUUACAAAGACCCUAUUUCCAAAUAAGAUUGCAUUCUGAGAUUCCUAGUGGACAUGAAUUUUGGGGGGACACUAUUCAACCCAAUAUAGGGUAUAAAUUUUAUAUUUCACUGGUGUUUGUAGACACUUCACCAGAGAGCAGUUUCCAUGACACUGCAAUAUCCAGAUGUCCUUGAUGUAGACAUUGAGUUGGUCAGUGGACUAGUCAGAUUGUAGAACCAUGGCUGCUACUUGUUCAUAUGCAAAUAUUUGGUUAUGGGAAGCUAAAAGAAUUAGUACUAAGUAGGAGAAGUUGAAAAUAGUAACUGGCAUAAAGAUGAUUUUUGUAACCACUUUUAUGUAUGCUCUCAUUGUUAGCUGAGCCUGGGAAAUUUGCCAGUUUUGAUCAUCUGACUCUGUGUCAUGAUACAACCUUGCUUGAUUACUUGGUGCCAAGGGGAUCAUACCAGAGGUCAUCCCUGGUAUUCUUUGGCCUGUAGGCAAAGCCUUUUUUCAAAUCACACAAGUGCAAGAUGUGCUUAUCUAAGUGACACUUCAGUAGAGGAAUCAUGGGAUUGUCAAGCUCUCCUCCACUCCCUUUACUUGAUAUGCAUAGAAGAGGCACUUUUACCGCCAGGAAAGAUUGCAGAAUUUGGUUUUCUUGAUUCUCAAGCUGGCUCUAUUUUAGGGAGGGGACCAAAAGAAGUGGCUGCUCCUAGUACACUACAGGUUGCAAGUUGUGUUGUACUGGGUCCCGCUGAAUGACCUUGUGCUUGAUAAUAAGAAUUGGAGUGAUGAGGGCUCUCCUCCUACUGCUGCUGUUCCAGGGAAUGCCGAAGGCCAUUCUUGCCAGAUCACACUCUGCAGUAUUUCUACUCGGCUGUAUCUGAGCCAGCUCCAGGAGUCCCUUCAUUUACUGCUUUUGGCUUUGUGGACGACCAGCCCUUCAUUCACUAUGACAGUGAGGAGAUGAAGGCAAAGUCUUCUGUUCAGUGGUUGAUGGAGGAGCCGAGUUACUUAGAGGAUGAGACCAAGAUCUUCACAAGUCGGAUGAAGAUUUUCCACUUAAAUCUCAGGAAUGUGCAGCAAUAUUACAACCAAACCAUGGAGGAUGGUCUAAACAAAGCGCUGGCACAAAAGCAAACAGGCAGGUCCCCACACCCUCCAGUUCACCUACGCCUGUGAGCUCCAGCAGGCAGGCCCACGGGGCACUGGCAGUAUGGCUGUGAUGGUGAGGACUACCUGAGCUUGCAUAUGGACUCUGCAAUACACAGCAGCAACAUUCAUUGCUCAAUACACCAAACGAAAAUGGGAGGCUGGUGGGAACUUCACAGAGAGAGACAAGAACUACUUGGAAAAAGAGCGCGUCCUGUGGCUGCAGAGAUACUAGAAAUUUGGAAAUCAAGCCCACGUAGAAGUCUGCCUGCCUCGUUACUGGGAAGUACCAUCCACACAUGUGUGCUUAGUAAGUCUGGGGCCUUUUGCUUGCACUUAUUCUUUGUAAGGCACAUGUGAAAAUCGAGACCAAUAUCAACGUGAUGAAUCUGGUGACGGGGACAUGAUUCCUAGGAGUUGAAGGUCAGGGAAUGUCACUACUGAGGACAGGCCUCCAGGAGGGUGGUUGGUCCAGUCCCUGCAUAUCUACUUUCUUCAUGUUUUUGGUUCCUGCCCUGGGUUUUCAGUCACAGGAAACUUCCCUGGGGUUCAGGACUAGGGGCUUCCUUUAGGGCCUCAUGACCUGCCUUCUCCCUGGCUUCACAGGACAUUGUGUUUCUUUCCUCAAAUGGAAAAAGAGGGACUAUUCUCAGGCUGCAAUUAAGUAUUGAGCAGAGGUGGAGGUGGAGGGUGAACCCUGAGAUCCUUGGGAUAGUGCAGACAGGAGCCGAUGGGGGAGCUCACCCACCCCAUGAUUCCUUCUUUAGCCACAUCUCUGGGCUCUGGCCGCUUCCUGUUUUGUUCUCCCCUAGGCAGUGACAGCGCUCUGGGCUCUGAUGCUCUCACUGAUUCUAAAGGUGAGGCCCUAAAGGGCCCAAAAUGGGAGAGAGGUUGGGGCAGAGGGAACACACUGGGUUAUGGAGAUUCUUUGAGUGGGACAUUUUGAGCAUGUGGCGGGGGGGCUGUUGAGAAUGAACCACUUACGGUGAUUGACCUGAAUUUGUUCAUGAUUAUUUUCUUUCACAGUAUGAGAGAGUGGCCUUGUGUGGGACUGAGUGAUGCAAGAUUUGUUUAUGCCCCACCCCCCUCCUUUGUGACUUUGGAUCCCCUGACUUCUGUUUCUGCAGCUGCAUCUGAAUGUGUCUGUGUUCCUCGUAGCAUAAUGUGAGGAGGUGGGGAGACUGGCUCACCCCUGCCCACCACGACCCCUCCCCACCCUGACCUGUGUUCUCUUCCCUGAUCCACUUGCCUGUUCCAGCAGAGGUGGGGGUGGGCCGUCUCCAUCCCUGUCUUAACUUCACGUUGCACUGAAUUGCAGCUUGUUACUCCUUAUUGAAAAUAGGAAUCUGGAUAUGAAUUUGUUUCUUCUGAUUCUUGUCAUGAGGUGGGGUUGGUGGGUUAAUUAAAAGAUAGGAAGAUUCUUAAAAUUUGCGAGAAAUAAAUGGAAGCGCUGAGAACCUUCCACAAUCUGUGUGCUUGCUGCGCUGAGUCUGCUGCAGGCGGGACAGGAGGAGGCUGUGAGGAGCUGAGUGUGGACGCGGCCUGUGCCCACUCCGUGCUCACUGCAUCGUGGGCUUUGAUGUGGUCACUCCUGGUCACAUCUUCUCAGCUCCUUUGUCCUUGUCCCUUCAGUAGAACCUUGUCCCACCAGGACUUGUGAUCACAGGGACUCGGACAUCACCUGGACCUUGUCGUGUCUCCUGGACUCUGGGCAGUGAGGACUUUACGUGGUUGGGUCAGCCAGGACUCAGGACUGGGUCUGGCCCUCAGCCCUCAUCUUUUAGGUGUUUUGUUUGUUUGUUUGUUUGUUUGUUUCUGUAGAGAAUUACGCCUCUUCUUGUUCUUGUAUAUGAAUUCUAGUCUCAUUUUACUCUGGGUGUCCCCCAUCUCUGACAGGAGCAGGAGUGAUUUUUGCCUGUCAUUGUCCCCACGAGGCCCAGGAGCUCCCUGCUCACUGUAGUGUCAGUGGUCUGCAGAAAUGAGUUUUCUGACUCAUCCAGCUCUUGCCCUCCUUCUAAGGCUAUUUUCUGGAUUGUUCUUUCCAUCUUUUCCCCAACCUUUCUUUAAGGAACCAGAUCCCAGAAUUAGUAGAGAGGAUGCGGGAGUCCAGCUCCUGCAGGUCCAGGAAUACGUGAGGGAUGGACAGCGUCGGCGAGGGGAAGUUAAAUAAUUCAAUAACACUGUGUAUGUACAAGCAUGGUCUCUCUCUCUUUAUUUUCUCACAGUCAGAUUUAUAUACCCUAAGUGAUUGCAUCAUCAGGUGCCUAGCUAAAACUUCAGAAGAUAUUUAUAAUAGAUUGUACCUAAUAUUUCUAUAUGUACUUUUAAAAUAAUUCUAAAGGUUUUCAAAACAUCAUUGUUUUUUCUUAGAGUAGGUUCAAUCCGUACUAAUAACAAAGCCAAGCUAAUAUGUAACAAGCCAUUAAAAGAAACUAUGAAGGAGGAAGUUUCCUGAACUUUCCUAUGUGUCCCAGAGGUCCGCAUGGACGAGUCUUAACAAUGUACCCCUAAAUUAUCUACAAUACAUUUCACAAUUCAGUCUAUCAUUGUGUUCUUCUGGGCAAGAAGCCUUGUCUGAAUGGACGAGUCAACAAUUCCAAUGUUGGCAGUUGACUCUGUAUGAUUAAUUUAUCCUUAUACCAGAAGCAACAAUACCCAUAAUCAUUUCUUACUCCCAUGUAGGGCCAUUGCUUUUUUAUUAUUGGUGUUUUCCAUAGAAACAACCCUACAUUUCCAGGCUGUUUGUUUUUUCUCCCACCAGCCAGGGGCUGUUGUUAAAAAGUCCCAAUUCGUAGGUUUUGGUUUGGGAGGGGGAAGAGGAUGUUUUACACGGUUAAGCUUGG